AGAUUAUGAUAUGGACACUUCCUCAAGAGGUCCUUGAACCUCUCCCAUGUCUUGAACAAUUACUCAGUAUCCAUUUGAGUGAAUGAAGUGAUUUCUUAUCUAAGCUU